AAACUGGGACAUUUCUCAGACCUUCCGCCUGGGAUCUCCAUUGCUUAUGACUCCCAUUGUGGAGACACAGCAACCUAUGGGCAGACAGAGGGUGGAGAAUGCAGUGACGUGUCUGUCAACCAGUUGGUGCAAUUCACAGUGAAGAUAAGGGCAACCACUUGCCUACCUGAGUCCCAGAAGCUUGUGUUGCGAGUAUUAGGAGUGGGAGAGGAGGUCCAAGUAGAGCUGUCAACAGCCUGUGAGUGCCAAUGUGGAGACACCCAGCCUGAUGCACACCACUGCUCUGGUGGGCAUGGCAACCUCACCUGUGGCAUUUGCAGGUGUCAUGAAGGCUAUGUUGGCCGGCGCUGUGAUUGCAGGAAAGAGGAAAUACUUGGUUCAGAAGGUGUGAGCCUAGCAAGUGGGCCCUUCUGCAGUUGUGACAAUGUUGCCUGUGAACGACAUAAUGGGCAACUCUGUGCAGGUAAAAACAUGAAGUUUCUUUGAGAUACUAUGACUCUCCAAUUGAAGAGAAUAUUUGUAGCUCAGGGUUGAACCAUCGAG